UGGGGCGUCGACUAGUGGUAAGUCACAUGCCUUUGGAGCAUGGUACCUAGGUUCGAAUCCUAGCGCCCCAGCCA
rnacentral:tRNA from 1 species